rnacentral:tRNA from 1 species
AGCAGCAUGGCGCAGUGGUAGCGCGCGGGGCCCAUAUACAGCGUUAAGUUGUGUGACCCCGAGGUCACUUGAUCGAAACAAGUUGCUGCUA